CACUUGGACAGCUGUCCUCGUGCCCAACCCCAACCGACCUGGCAGCCCGAGGCUGAUCCUGAGGAGGAUCCCGGCACCAGCCCCCUCCAGCAGCUCCUUUCCGAGCUCCACACCCAGGUCUACUCCUACUACACCUGGUGGUUGCCCUUUUCGCUCUUCCUCUUGCUUCUCCUCUAAUAACUCUCCAAGAUUGUCUCCUAGCCCCUCUCCAGCCUCUCCUCCCAGCAGGCCACUGGCUGAUCAGAACAAGGUCACCCUUACGAAGCUGCCACUGGUGAGUUCCCCUGACAGACCUGAGGUACCCGGUAAGGUGAGUACAUGUCGCAGCCGUCUGAGUUCUCAGAACCCCACCAAGCCUCGUCUGAUGACAGCUGGCCCCCAGCCAAAGUGGGUAAGAAAUAUGCAGGCUAUUAUUAAGGAGAGAAACAGGCAGCGUGGCGUCAGGGGAGGUAAGAGAGCUGCUGGACCCCCAAAAGGUGAACCUGCAGCCAAGCGCUCAUUUCACUCGUAGAUAGUUUCAGUUUCUGCAGCAGAAAACAUAUUUUGCACUGGAUUCUGCUUGGUCGUAUUUUUCUUUGAUUCCAGGACAAAAAUUAAACAGAAGACCCCAGAGGACCCCAAAAGCAGACGAGACGAGGGACAUAUGAAGCGGUCGAUGCUGAACAGAUGAGAGAAGAGAUGAAAAACAGAUCCAGGAUCACAACAUGAGAUGAGCGACAGCCCGAAAUCUGUCCUCCAAGUUCUAAAAAUAUCCCAGAGGAAUCCAAGCAUGAGACGAGAGAUGAGGGAAACAUCCUAAAUAAGAGAAAAGAGAUGAGCGACAGCCCCUGGGUGACAAAAGAAAUGAGAAGCAGAUCCAGGAUCAGAACUUGAGAUGAACAACAACCUGACUAACAAAGCAAUCCAAAAUGGCCAAAAGAGACGAGAGGAGACGAGACGAGGACAAGCCCCAGGAUUUGAAACCUGGCCUAGAGAGACGAGGGAGCCAAAGUCGCAGAGACACGGAGGAGCAAAGUGAGGCACAGAGACCCGAGAAGUUGAAAAAAACAGAACAGAGAGGAGCCACAGGAUGACGGAAGAGAUGAGAAUCAGCCCCCAAAAGACCCGAGAUGAGGAACAGCACCAGAGUUCACCUCCCCAGCCCGAGCCCUCUCUCUCGUCCCCUCUCUCUCUCGCUCCCUCUGUCUCUCAACCCAACCGGUCAAGGCAGAUGGCCGCCCAUCUUGAGCCGGGGUCUGUUCCGAGGUUUCUGCCUUCAAAAAGGCAGUUUUUCCUCGCCACUGUUGCCAAGUGCUUGCUCAAGGGGGAAUGUUGGGUUCUCUAUAUUACAAAGCUUGUGUAAUACAGCCAGGAGAUAACUUUUUUUGUGAACUGGUGCUGUAAAAAUGAUCUGAAUUGAACCGAAGUGAAUUAAGCAGAUAACAAAGAGGAGCCCCAACGAGUGAAAUGGCUGACAAAGGACAAGAAGGAACAGCCAUGAGAAGAGAUGAGGACAUUGGAGUGCAUGCAGAGUACCAGCAGCUAGCAGAGGACCUCUGGUGCCUGAACUAAACGCGCUCCAUUUAAAGAUGCUGGGGACGAGCUGACAAGCAGAACAAUCGGCGCAGAGCCAACAGAAGAGGAGUUCAACAAUAUCUGACAUGAUUACACUGUGCAAAAAAAAACCCCCAAACAAGUCAAAUACAAAGUCAGAAUGAGAA